rnacentral:rRNA from 1 species
GAUGAACGCUGGCGGCGUGCUUAACACAUGCAAGUCGAACGGAAAGGCCCAAGCUUGCUUGGGUACUCGAGUGGCGAACGGGUGAGUAACACGUGGGUGAUCUGCCCUGCACUUCGGGAUAAGCCUGGGAAACUGGGUCUAAUACCGGAUAGGACGAUGGUUUGGAUGCCAUUGUGGAAAGUUUUUUCGGUGUGGGAUGAGCUCGCGGCCUAUCAGCUUGUUGGUGGGGUAAUGGCCUACCAAGGCGUCGACGGGUAGCCGGCCUGAGAGGGUGUACGGCCACAUUGGGACUGAGAUACGGCCCAGACUCCUACGGGAGGCAGCAGUGGGGAAGAUUGCACAAUGGGCGCAAGCCUGAUGCAGCGACGCCGCGUGGGGGAUGACGGCCUUCGGGUUGUAAACUCCUUCGCUAGGGACGAAGCGUUUUUGUGACGGUACCUGGAGAAGAAGCACCGGCUAACUACGUG